rnacentral:rRNA from 1 species
UACGAAGGGGGCUAGCGUUGUUCGGAAUUACUGGGCGUAAAGCGCGCGUAGGCGGCUUUGUAAGUUAGAGGUGAAAGCCCGGGGGCUCAACCCCCGGAACUGCCUUUAAGACUGCAUCGCUUGAAUCCGGGAGAGGUGAGUGGAAUUCCGAGUGUAGAGGUGAAAUUCGUAGAUAUUCGGAAGAACACCAGUGGCGAAGGCGGCUCACUGGACCGGCAUUGACGCUGAGGUGCGAAAGCGUGGGGAGCAAACAGG